rnacentral:RNase_P_RNA from 1 species
AGAGUCGAUCGGACAGUCGCUGCCUUCGCAAGAAGGGGGAGGAAAGUCCGGGCUCCAUAGGGCGGAGUGCCAGGUAACGCCUGGGAGGCGUGAGCCUACGGAAAGUGCCACAGAAAAUAACCGCCUAAGCGUUUCGGCGCCGGUAAGGGUGAAAAGGUGCGGUAAGAGCGCACCGCACGGCUGGCAACAGUCCGUGGCUAGGUAAACCCCACUCGGAGCAAGACCAAAUAG